CUUGCGCUAAAGGAGCGGCCGAUGUCUGAUUAGCUAGUUGGUGGGGUAAAGGCCUACCAAGGCGACGAUCAGUAGUUGGUCUGAGAGGACGACCAACCACACUGGGACUGAGACACGGCCCAGACUCCUACGGGAGGCAGCAGUGGGGAAUUUUGGACAAUGGGCGAAAGCCUGAUCCAGCCAUGCCGCGUGAGUGAAGAAGGCCUUCGGGUUGUAAAGCUCUUUCAGUCGGAAAGAAACGAUUGUGACUAAUACUCACAAUUAAUGACGGUACCGACAGAAGAAGCACCGGCUAACUACGUGCCAGCAGCCGCGGUAAUACGUAGGGUGCGAGCGUUAAUCGGAAUUACUGGGCGUAAAGGGUGCGCAGGCGGUCUUGCAAGUCAGAUGUGAAAUCCCC
rnacentral:rRNA from 1 species